GAAUAAGAAGCAAUACUUUUGCAACCAGUUUCGACCUGGUAGUUAGAUAAUAAUAUAUCCUUAUUUU
rnacentral:tRNA from 1 species